rnacentral:lncRNA from 1 species
AGUCAUUUGUCAAAUUAAUCUAUUUUUUUCUUUUGAUAGGCAAACAUGUAUCCUUGAAGGGAGAUAAUCAAUGACAUAUUUAAUUCAAAUUUUGUCUUUUUGUUCAAGUCAAAAUCCAUCAAUGGAAAAAUCAAACAACUACACAAUCUAUGUUUGUAUAUUUUUUUAUAUAAACCUUAUCAAGCUUACCCCUUACAUGGACAAUACAAUGAAUAACACAGAC